rnacentral:rRNA from 1 species
AACGUAAGUUAUUUGAUAGUACCUUACUACUGGAAACCGUAGUAAUUCCAGAACUAAUACAUGCCUCAAGUCCCAACUGCCUGUGCGGAAGGGAUGUCUUUAUUAAAUCAAAACCAAUGCAGGGGCAACCCUGGUAUUGUGGUGAUUCAUAAUAACUGUGCAAAUCCCAUGGCCUCCCCCCGGCAAUAAAUCAUUCAACUUUCUGCCCUAUCAACUUUCGAUGGUAGGGUAUUGGCCUACCAUGGCGUUAACGGAUAACGAAGAAUUAAGGUUCGAUUCCGGACAGGGAACCUGACAAACGGCUACCACAUCCGAGGAAGGCACCAAGCUCAUAAAUUACCCAAUCCUGACACAGGGAGGUAGUGACAAUAAAUAACAAUGCCGGGCUUUUUUAAGUUUGGCAAUUGAAAUGAUAACAAUUUAAAUCCCUAACCAAGGAUCGAUUGGAGGGCAAAAUCUG